UGCAUGAUACUGCGUUUUGUCCAACUUCCUGGUUUCUUUUUAGCACUCACAUUUCAGUGGCUUAAUUGUCCUUUUUACAACUGCUCUAAGAAAAGGAAAAAAAAGAUUUCUUAAUGGUAUUCCCUGGUUUGUGCCAAAGGACCCUAAUCUCCAAGGAGAGAGAACCAUUCUUAGUUUGAGGAAAUGUCAAGAGCUCUUCAAGCCUACAGGAACAGGGGAAGAGGAAGAGGAGGGUGGAUCCCAACUGUUACCCCAUAUUCCACUCCUGUUUCACUGGUCACAAUCACGGGGCCUUACUCAGCUUCCUCAGGAUUUGACCUGUAUUAGUCGAUGAUGGAUGAGUUACAGCCAAUUGAUUAGAGUGACAGACCGAUGGAAUUCAUGCCAGCUCGAAUUGCUCUUCCAAAAUCUACCUGGGCAGCGCUCUCUUUUACUUCAGAUCGGUUCCUUCGUCUGUGGGGGACCUGCGGAGGCCAGGUCCUAAUUCACCAGCCAGGAUCCUUCUCCCAUCUUCCACCAUGCUUUCCAGCCUCGGCCGGCUUCGGGUCUGUGAGCGGGCGCAUGCCUGCUCAGAGAAGUCUCCCAAGCGCUGUUGUCUGGGGGGGAAGGGAGAGCCCCGCCUUGAGGGUAGGGGGGCAAUCCCCUGGCAAGGAGCAGCCAUUGGACCUCUGAGCUCCUGCCACUGUUUUCAGGGACCAGCAUUUCGGGGGGGCCAGUGGAGCCAGGGUGCUGAGUCGUCCAACUGCUGCAGGGAAAGGAAAGGAGCAGCGAGCCCUGGGCCUGAGCAGGGACAGCGGUGGACUUUUCUGGAAUGUCUUCCAUUAACCCUGGUUUUUAACUCCUCGUCGUUCUCUGCAUUCAGGAGCAGCGCUAAAGGGACCUAGGGAGUCAACUCAACUGGUCUGUCUUCUCUGCCUGUAUUUUUCCCCAAUGUUCCUCUUACCUGAUUGUAAUUGUCUUUAUAUUCUACCCCCCCACACUGUUCACCAUUUUUUCCCAUCCCCCGAGGGCACAGAUAAUGGCAUUGACAACUUCUGCCGCCAGCUGAAAUGGGCUUCUGUCCUCAAGCUUCUCCUACAGAAGAUGUCCCUUGUCCCUUGUCACGCCCACUUUGGGGACCCAAGACUCCUCUUACCCUAAAAGCCCCCACAGAAAGAAAGCUUCCCCCUCCCGCUCCCCUGGGCGUGGCUGGAGCUUCCCUGGACGGCCAGCAGAUGGAGCAGUUGCCCUCCUUAUCCUCUCUCCCUGGCCUCCCCUCCCAAACAAAGACCCGGAAAGAGUGGGGAAGGUGGGCUAGUGGGCAGGCCUCUCCCAGGACCCACAAGGGGAGAAACUUUCCACAAAGAAAGUCCCCAGGCCCCCUCCCCUACAGAACUGUCCCUCUUGGGCCAAGGGCCACCAAAGAGAGAAGGAAUGUGGGGCUGUGCCCAGCCCCCCAGGGAGCACAUCCAUGUCCCAGGCCCAGUGUCAGAAGCCCCGCUGUCUCCUCAUUGCUUCUAGUACAGGCGGGUGGAUGCCAGAAAUCCCACCAUCCGGGCCCGUUAGAUAUGACUCUAAGGUUUUGUCAGACGCAAACGCACAGGGGCAGCGCGCAGCCCCCUGGGCCUUGUGUGCUGGAACUUUCUAGCUGCCAGCUCUGGGUUCGUGGCAGCAACUCAAAUUCAGGGCGGCUGGAAGCCAAGUCUCAGUUUCUUCAUCUCUAAGAAAGAGAGAUGAAGUUUAAUUUUUCCUGACAACACAGCUUGGAGGGGAUUAAUUAUACACGAAGGUGUCUGAGAAGCGGAAGCUGCCUGAUCCAUGUUGGUUAAACUUCAAACACGCGCAGAUGCCUCCGGGGGAGACGCCGAGCGAGGGGACCCGUCCGCUCUUCUCCGGCAGUGGGUUGGGUGGGAUGCGCAGGGCAGGGCUGGCCAGGAGCCCUUGUCCUCUCUCAUCCGGAUUAUCCCAAAGGCCCCCUCUGUGCUCUCCCUGCCUCCAGCCCUGGCACCCUUUCUCCUUCCCUCCCGUCCUGCCUCCUCCCUGCAGGUGUUUUCUAUAUAGAAAUCACACGCCCUUCCUUGGCCUAAAAUACUUAUAUGGCUUUUCAAAUGCUCUCAGAAUAAAAGCCAAACUCAGAAGAAUGUCA